rnacentral:lncRNA from 1 species
CAACCCCCCACCCGGGCAGGGAGGGGCUCCCGGGGGGGGGCCGGACCCUUCCUCACUUUGGUCCCCGUCCCCAGGUCACCUGCGUGGUCAAUAACUUCCAGAGCAAGGCGCCCGCGGCCCCGAAGCCGGCGCCCCCCGAGAGCCUGGCCAGCGUCCCCGGCGUGGGGCUGCCCUGCGUCGAGAGCCCCCUGGAGAAGUUCAGCGUAGCCCAGCGGGUCAGGGAACCCCCAGAAGAGCAGGAUUUCUCCACGCUGCUCACCCGAGGCCUGGAGAGGCAGCUCGCUCGCUCCCUCCGCACGGGGGGCCACGCUGGGGCGGCUUGGCCCUACGAGAUCACAGAGCUCUGCUCCCAGCGAUCACCUGACCCCCAGCUGUGCCUCUUCCCCACCACCCCCGACGUGCUCAUCCCCUCCCGCUCCGUCACCAGCGAGGUCUGACGGAGGCACUGCCCCCUGGGGAGGGGAGGCGGGAGGCUGCCCCCCCACACCCAGGACACCCCUCUGCCU